rnacentral:rRNA from 1 species
UGGGGAAUAUUGGACAAUGGGGGCAACCCUGAUCCAGCCAUGCCGCGUGCGUGAAGAAGGCCUUAGGGUUGUAAAGCGCUUUCAGCGGGGACGAUGAUGACGGUACCCGCAGAAGAAGCCCCGGCUAACUCCGUGCCAGCAGCCGCGGUAAUACGGAGGGGGCAAGCGUUGUUCGGAAUUACUGGGCGUAAAGCGCACGUAGGCGGACUAUUAAGUCAGGGGUGAAAUCCCGGGGCUCAACCCCGGAACUGCCUUUGAUACUGGUAGUCUUGAGUUCGAGAGAGGUGAGUGGAAUUCCGAGUGUAGAGGUGAAAUUCGUAGAUAUUCGGAGGAACACCAGUGGCGAAGGCGGCUCACUGGCUCGAUACUGACGCUGAGGUGCGAAAGCGUGGGGAGCAAACAGGAUUAGAUACCCCCGUAGUCC